UGAAUACGAGAUGCUACGGCGUCGAAGCAGUCUAUGUCAUACUUCCAAGAAAAGCUCGCACUGUCAUAAACAAAUAAUGCCUGUACCAUAACCGACACAGGUGGGUAGGUAGAGUAUACUAAGGGGCGCGAGAUAACUCUCUCUAAGGAACUCGGCAAAAUGACUCCGUAACUUCGGGAGAAGGAGUGCCUUAUUUAUAAGGUUGCAAUAACAAGAUCCAAGCAACUGUUUAUCAAAAACACAGGUCUCCGCUAAGUCGUAAGACGAUGUAUGGGGGCUGACGCCUGCCCAGUGCCAGAAGGUUAAAGAAGUUGGUUAGCAUUCGCGAAGCUGAUAACUGAAGCCCUGGUGAACGGCGGCCGUAACCAUAACGGUCCUAAGGUAGCGAAAUUCCUUGUCGGGUAAGUUCCGACCCGCACGAAAGGCGUAAUGAUUUGGAUACUGUCUCGGAGAGGGGCUCGGUGAAAUAGACUUGUCUGUGAAGAUGCGGACUACCUGCACCAGGACAGAAAGACCCUAUGAAGCUUUACUGUAACUUGAGAUUGAAAUUGGACUUUACUUGCCAGUAUAGGUGGGAGGCGUUGAUAAUAUUCUUGCGGGAUUAUUUGAGCCAUCAGUGAGAUACCACUCUUGUAAUGUUAGAUUUCUAACUUUGUAUCAUUAUCUGGUCAAAGGACAGUUUCAGGCGGGCAGUUUGACUGGGGCGGUCGCCUCCUAAACGGUAACGGAGGCGCACAAAGGUUUCCUCUGAACGGGUAGAAAUCGUAUCUAGAGUGUAAAGGCAUAAGGAAGCUUGACUGUGAGACCUACAAGUCGAGCAGGGACGAAAGUCGGUCUUAGUGAUCUGACGGUGCUGAGUGGAAAUUCCGUCACUCAACGGAUAAAAGUUACUCUAAGGAUAACAGGCUGAUCUCCCCCAAGAGUUCACAUCGACGGGGAGGUUUGGCACCUCGAUGUCGGCUCAUCGCAUCCUGGGGCGGUAGUACGUCCCAAGGGUUGGGCUGUUCGCCCAUGAAAGCGGUACGCGAGCUGGGUUCAGAACGUCGUGAGACAGUUCGGUCCAUAUCCGGUGUAGGCGUUAGAAUAUUGAGAGGAGCCUUCUUUAGUACGAGAGGACCGAGAAGGACAUACCUCUGGUGUACCAGUUAUCGUGCCAACGGUAAACGCUGGGUAGCUAUGUAUGGAGUGGAUAACCGCUGAAAGCAUCUAAGUGGGAAGCCCACCUCAAGAUAAGUA
rnacentral:rRNA from 1 species